rnacentral:rRNA from 1 species
CCUACGGGGGGCUGCAGUGGGGAAUAUUGGACAAUGGGGGGAACCCUGAUCCAGCCAUGCCGCGUGUGUGAAGAAGGCCCUCGGGUUGUAAAGCACUUUCAGUGAGGAAGAACGCCUGGUGGUUAAUACCCAUCAGGAAAGACAUCACUCACAGAAGAAGCACCGGCUAACUCCGUGCCAGCAGCCGCGGUAAUACGGAGGGUGCGAGCGUUAAUCGGAAUUACUGGGCGUAAAGCGCGCGUAGGUGGCUUGAUAAGCCGGUUGUGAAAGCCCCGGGCUCAACCUGGGAACGGCAUCCGGAACUGUCAAGCUAGAGUGCAGGAGAGGAAGGUGGAAUUCCCGGUGUAGCGGUGAAAUGCGUAGAGAUCGGGAGGAAUACCAGUGGCGAAGGCGGCCUUCUGGACUGACACUGACACUGAGGUGCGAAAGCGUGGGUAGCAAACAGGAUUAGAUACCCGUGUAGUC